rnacentral:misc_RNA from 1 species
UGCAUGCUGCUGGAUACUUUUUGAGUCCUGUAUUUUUUUAUCCAAAUAAUAUGAGAAUUGAAUCUGAUGGAGAGGUCAAUACAGGAUUGCUUUCGUGCAUUCAUAAAAUGGAAAAAAAAAUUCAGCAAAAGUUGACAUGAUUCUUGAUGAAAUUGAGAGAUACAAGGCAGCUACAAGGACCUUUGAUUUUCCUUUUGCUAUUAGAGGAAGAACAAUCAAAUCUCCAAGUUAUUAAUUUAAAUUCUUAUUAAUUUUUCAUUUUGCUCAUUUAUUAAUUUAUAUCAUGAAUUUAACAAUCAUUGGUUCUAUAUUUUAAUAGCUGCUUGGUGGAAAACAUAUAGUUCAUCAACUCCAAACCUACAAAACUUUGCUAUAAAAGUUCACAGUCUUACAUAUAGUGCAAGUGGUUAUGAAAGAAGUUGGAGUGUAUUUGAG